UGGGUCAGCGACUUAUAUUCUGUAGCAAGGUUAACCGAAUAGGGGAGCCGGAGGGAAACCGAGUCUUAAUUGGGCGUUAAGUUGCAGGGUAUAGACCCGAAACCCGGUGAUCUAGCCAUGGGCAGGUUGAAGGUUGGGUAACACUAACUGGAGGACCGAACCGACUAAUGUUGAAAAAUUAGCGGAUGACCUGUGGCUGGGGGUGAAAGGCCAAUCAAACCGGGAGAUAGCUGGUUCUCCCCGAAAGCUAUUUAGGUAGCGCCUCGUGAAUUCAUCUCCGGGGGUAGAGCACUGUUUCGGCUAGGGGGCCAUCCCGGCUUACCAACCCGAUGCAAACUGCGAAUACCGGAGAAUGUUAUCACGGGAGACACACGGCGGGUGCUAACGUCCGUCGUGAAGAGGGAAACAACCCAGACCGCCAGCUAAGGUCCCAAAGUCAUGGUUAAGUGGGAAACGAUGUGGGAAGGCCCAGACAGCCAGGAUGUUGGCUUAGAAGCAGCCAUCAUUUAAAGAAAGCGUAAUAGCUCACUGGUCGAGUCGGCCUGCGCGGAAGAUGUAACGGGGCUAAACCAU
rnacentral:rRNA from 1 species